rnacentral:misc_RNA from 1 species
UCUCUGUUCUUUGACCACUUUAUCUGCCUUUUCAAAAGCGCUUUCUUUCUCUAUUCUCCGCAUCCAUCCAUUUCAACCCAAUCCAUACUUCUCACUCCUAACACGCACUUUUAGGCCAAUCCCCUUCGCCUCUUCUCUCGCCCUCUGGACUUCUUCUAUCUUCCAUGGAGUCCUCUGUAACCAUCUCCGUGAGAGCCUCUUCCUACUAUUCUUCUCAUUUCUCUGUCUCCCCAAGCACUACGCCUAAGCGCAGGCUCUAUUCUCACAAAACCCAUUAUUCUUCAUUUUCCUUUAGGUCCCUUAAUUCCAUGCACUCUGAUUCCAAAUCUAUUUCUUCUAUUAACCCUAAAUAUUCUCGCUUUUCCUGCUCUGCUGUUGCUUUCUCUCCGUCACCCACCACUGAGCUCGUGGGUGGUAAGCUGCAGCACCUGAUAAACGAAUUCCAAUCCCUGCCGGGAUCAAUCGACCGCGUGAAACGGGUCCUUCAUUAUGCCUCUAUUCUCCCCCCUUUUCCAGACUCCUCCCGGAUAGACUCCAACAGGGUCAUGGGCUGUACGGCCCAAGUCUGGCUCGAUGCCCAGUUAGAUCACUAUGGAAAGAUGAGAUUUUUAACCGACAGCGAUUCGGAGAUUACGCGAGGGUUCUGUGCUUGUUUGUUAUCUGUACUGGAAGGGGCGGCACCUGAAGAGGUGUUGAGCGUGAAGACAGAGGAUUUGGCGGCGCUGAAAGUGGGGUUGCCUGGCGGCGAGAGGUCGAGAGUAAAUACUUGGCAUAAUGUGCUGGUGAGUAUGCAGAAGAGGACGAAGAAAUUGGUAGCGGAAAGGGAAGGGAAGAAGCCUUUCGAUCCAUUUCCUUCAUUGGUUAUCACUUCAGAAGGAAUUCAGGCCAAGGGAAGCUACGCUGAAGCACAGGCAAGAUAUUUACUACCGGACGAGUCCAAGGUUCAAGAACUUGUCAACUUGCUAAAGGAGAAGAAAAUUGGUGUUGUUGCUCAUUUUUACAUGGACCCUGAAGUUCAAGGCGUCUUAACUGCUGCACAGAAGCACUGGCCUCACAUCCAUAUAUCUGAUUCAUUAGUCAUGGCAGAUAGUGCUGUAAAGAUGGCAAAAGAUGGAUGCAAAUUCAUAACGGUCUUGGGUGUAGAUUUUAUGUCAGAAAAUGUACGGGCAAUCCUUGAUCAAGCUGGCUUUGAAGAGGUUGGUGUUUAUAGGAUGUCAAAAGAGCGCAUUGGUUGUUCUUUGGCAGAUGCCGCAUCUAGCCCUGCUUACAUGAAUUAUCUUGAAGCAGCUUCUGGGUCUCCACAUUCUUUGCAUGUUGUCUACAUAAAUACUUCACUUGAGACAAAAGCUUAUGCUCAUGAGCUUGUGCCUACAAUCACAUGUACUUCUUCUAACGUUGUGCAGACUAUCCUGCAGGCUUUUGCUCAAAUUCCAGAUUUAAACGUAUGGUAUGGGCCUGAUUCAUACAUGGGUGACAAUCUUGCAAAAUUGAUUCAACAAAUGACAUUGAUGACAGAUGAUGAAAUUGCUGAAGUACAUCCAGCACAUAAUAGAGACACCAUAAGAGCAUUGUUAUCUCGCUUGCAUUAUUAUCAGGUGAUCUCUCUUUUCAGUUUCAGCUGAGCUAGGAUGGAAUUAAAUGCACUGUGCAUGGUUCAUACAAUAAAUGGUGUGUAAUGUGAAUAUUAUUGGGAAGGAAGGUAUUUUGUUCAAUGCCCCACUGAAGCCUGGUUUGGGUGUUGAUUUGGUUAUUGAUUAUAGUACUUGCUUUUGUUCAUGUAGCUGUUACAAAAUAUAGGAGAAGAUGCAGCAACACAAAUAUAAAAUUUUUCAAGACAUCGAAUGGAGAAGUUGGAUUAUAUUUGUUACUACAUAGCGGCACUGCUGCUGAAAAGCAGCUUUUUGUGAGUGAAAUAUGCAAGAAUAUAUGUCUGGCAGUGAGAAUUUGGAAAAGACGUUAAGUCUUGUGCAUUUAUUUUGGUAGCUUACAUGUGGUUUACUUCAGAAGUUCCUGUCCUUAAAACAUUGUCACUUCAAUCUUACUGUUUUGAGGUCCAGCAUUUUUUAAAUCUUAUUUGUCUGUGCUCUAUUAUCAAUCUGUGAGUGCCUAAGGAUUGGUUUUUUCCCUUUAUUUUCUCUAGGUAAAUGCCCUGCUGCUGUCUUGUUUUCUAAAUUUAUUUAUGAGGUGGCUUUUUUGUGUCAGGAUGGAACAUGUAUUGUUCAUCAUCUUUUUGGAUAUGAAGUUGUGGAUAGGAUAAAUGAGAUAUAUUGUGAUGCUUUCCUAACUGCUCACCUGGAGGUCCCUGGAGAAAUGUUUUCUUUGGCAAUGGAAGCAAAGAGGAGAGGAAUGGGGGUAGUAGGUUCCACCCAAAACAUAUUAGAUUUUAUAAAGCUGAGAGUUCAAGAGGCACUAGAUAGAAAUGUCAACGAUCAACUCCAAUUUGUGUUAGGAACAGAAUCAGGAAUGAUCACUUCAAUUGUUGCAGCAGUUCAGCAUUUGCUAGGUUCUGCAAAGUCUUGUGGGGGAGCCAAAAUUAAUGUUGAAAUUGUCUUUCCAGUCUCAUCAGACUCGAUAACAAGAACAUCACCAAAUUCAUCUACUGGUCUAAAAUCUGUAAAUGCAGGGGACUUUGUGUUACCUGUUGUACCCGGAGUUGCUAGUGGGGAGGGAUGUUCUAUUCAUGGUGGCUGUGCUUCCUGUCCCUACAUGAAGAUGAACUCUCUUAAUUCCCUUAUAAAAGUUUGCCAGCACCUGCCAGAUGAGAAAAAUGCCAUUGUAGCAUACAAGGCUGAGCGAUUUAAACUGCAAACUCCCAGCGGAAAAUCAGUUGCCGAUGUUGGAUGUCAACCAAUACUGCACAUGAGACACUUCCAGACUACAAAAGAAUUACCGGAGAAACUUGUUAAUGAGGUUCUUCACCUCAGCAGCAACGGGAGGCCAAUAUUAUAAGGCUGAAAAGGUCUGCCUCCUCCCAGAAGUUGAUGAGAUACUAAUUUAUAGAGAAGCCAGACAUGAAAGGGGUUCUAAAUGUGAGAGAUUUCCCCUAUAAUAGAAGAUUUUUCACGUCAGCAUGUAUUUGAAGAUUUAGUUUUAGACACUAUGUUUUCUCCUUGUCAACAGUGUGGUUUAGAUUUUAUUUUCUCUUUGUUUUUAAGAGUGGUGUUAGAUUUACAGGAAACGAAGCGAUUCAUGAUAUGAUAUUAACCACUUUAUAGUAAGAUUAUCAUGGUAACAGCAUAUGUUACUUGUUGGCUAAGCUAAGUGAACUCCUACAUUGCUCAUCUUAACAAAACUUUGAUUGGUUGCUAAGACUGAAGCUAAUGAGAUCAUCAUUUUUCGUUUUUUAGAUGUGGAAAAC